UUGGUUUCUAACUAUCAGACUAAUUUAAUCAAAGAAAGUAUAAGAAUGGGUUACAAUGAUUUUUGAGAUUUUUAAUAUGCUCAUGGUGCAUUGGGGGAUGCUUUUAAAAGCUACGUUCGAACUCGAGAUUACUGUAUUACGUCAAAGCAUGUUAUUCAAAUGUGUUUGAGCGCUAUUCUUGUGAGCAUUGAGAUGGGUCAAUUUUCUCAUGUGAGAAGCUACAUUAGUAAGGCUGAGCAAAAACCCAAGGCACUUGACCCUCCCACUACUGCUAAGCUAUGAUGUGCCGUCAGAUUGCCUCAUUUGGAGUCUAAGAAGUACAAGCUUGCUGCUCGGAAGUUCUUGGAAGUGGGUUCUGAAUUGGGGAAUUCAGACAGUGAAGUCAUUGCUCCUCAAGAUGUUGCUACUUUGGUGUUCUUUGUGCACUUGCAAGCUUUGGUCGAACUGAACUGAGGGCAUAAAUCUCUCUAGUCCCCUUUUUUUAUUUUCUGGGAUUUCUUGGAGUUGGCACCUGAAGUAAGGGAGCUUAUUAAUGAUUUUGAUUCAAGCCAUUAUGCUUCCUGCUUGGAGUAUCUUGGAAACCUCAAAUCCAACCUGAUGCUUGACAUUCAUAUACAUGACCAUGUUGAGACUCUGUAUAAUCAAAUCCAGAGCAAAGCCCUCAUCAAGUAUACCCACCCAUUUGUGUCAGUUGAUAUGUGAAUGAUGGCUCUGGGAUACACUGUUCUGUAUAUACUCAAAAUUUAUCUCAUGAGUUCAUUUACAAGGUUAAAGAUGUAAUGGGGUACCUAGUUAAGUGGCCUAGACAUCUAGUCAUUCUAUGCUCUGAUUUGGUAAUAUUUUCAUUUAUUUAAAGAAAUUAUAUAGGUCUAAUUUAAAUGAUUUCUUUAUAUUUUCAUUUAUUUAAAGAAAUUAUAUAGGUCUGUAAUCUCGCCAUCAGGACGUAAGGUAAAAUUCAAAAAUAGCGAUGAGGCAAGUUGAAGCAUUGCAGAUCGAUUGUCUCUAAGAAAGGACAAUGACAUCGGCCUAGUGCCAUAUAAUCCAGGGUUUGUUUUUCAUUUGAUUAUAAAAAAAACUUAGUAACUUAAUUUGGUUUUUAUAGAAGACAUUGGGUGUUGGCGGUGAUAGAUAUGAAGCAACAAGUUAUUAUCAUGAUUCCUUGGGGCCCACCAAUGUCCAUCAGCAGUUGAAGCAGAUUAUUAAUGCGGCAAUGAUAUUAUACACUGCUCAAAGUGGAUCUACAAAAGGUUAGACUCAAUUAGAUCAAUGUUUGGUGAGGA